CCUCACACAACCAGUCCUUCAUGCCAGUUAAGUAGAUAACUAAUCACAAUUCAUUCACAUAAUAGUACCCAAUUGGAAAGCUUGGAAAGUUUUCAAUGGGGAUGCUAUCAAGUUGGGCGGGGUCCAAGUAUCACCUACUAAGAAGCACAGAUACAAUACGGGAUAUGGAUACGGUAUGAUACGGAUACAGAGAUACGACAAAUUCUUAAAAAA
rnacentral:lncRNA from 1 species